GAAAUUGUUCUGGCCAUGACAGGGUCUUCAUCUGGUGGUCCGUCAUCCACACCUUUAUGGACCUAGCUGAGGGCAGGAGCACUGUCCUGACAGAAGAACCAGUCCUCAGAGUUUGGGAACAUUGUCACAGCAGAAGGCCACUAGUUUUCAAUAGUUAUUUUUUGGAUUCCAGUUACUUUUGCGGUACUAAUAGCACUGUUUUAGCCUAUUGUAAGAAGAUAGUGAUGGACACAGUAGUGGUGUUUAUACUUCUGCUUCUUAAAUAAGGCAUGGAUCAGAUGUUUAUUAAAUAGAAUAAGGUGUGCUUGUGUUGGAAUUCGACAGACACAGGAAUGGAAUGGCUGUCAUACAUGCACACAUGCUGAUUUCAGAGGGAAUUGCAGUAGUCUCUUAAUAUUUUCCAGAGCUGUAUAGUGGUAACACCUAAGUAAAAUACAAUAAAAGCAAAAGGCAUAAUUAAUACAUCAGUGCUUGUGUGGAAUGUUUAUCAGAAGAAUUAAUGCUUAAACAAAUGCAUGAGUCAGUUAUUCUUCUGCAUUGCAGCUAUUUUUAAGAAAAGACAAAAAUUAUCAGAGGAAUUAAUGCUUAAACAGAUGCAUGAUUCACUUACUUUUCAGCUUCAGAGCUUAUUUUUAGGAGAAGACAAACAUUUUAUCAUUUUAUCGUUAAUGUAUUUUAACGGCAGGCAGCUCUGAAACCUGUAAAAGAAUUACAAUGUGAAGUUUGCUUGUUCGCAACUGAAAUGACAUUACUGCACCAUAAAAAAGGAACUGCCCUUGUCUGUUUCACGGUGUAAUUUAAAUAACAGAGGAAAAUACAAUGUGGAGGAAAUGCUACUGAAACUCUGCUGCACUGCACUGUGAUCUACAGUAAUUGUGUUAAUAAAAGCUGUUUGUCUCCUGGC